CAACAACAGACUCGGUGAAAUUGUAAUUCCGGUGAAGAUGCCGGAUACCUGCGACAGGACGGAAAGACCCCAUGGAGCUUUACUGUAGCUUGACAUUGGGUCUUGGUACUACAUGUACAGGAUAGGUGGGAGGCUUUGAAACCAGGACGCCAGUUUUGGCGGAGCCAUCCUUGGGAUACCACCCUUGUAGUACUGGGACUCUAACCAUAGGCCAUGAAUCUGGUCUUGGGACACUGUCAGGUGGGCAG
rnacentral:rRNA from 1 species